UGCCAGCCGCCGCGGUAAUACGGAGGGGGUUAGCGUUGUUCGGAAUUACUGGGCGUAAAGCGCACGUAGGCGGACAUGCAAGUUGGGGGUGAAAGGCCUGGGCUCAACCUAGGAACUGCCCUCAAAACUGUGUGUCUAGAGUUCGGAAGAGGAUGGCGGAAUUCCCAGUGUAGAGGUGAAAUUCGUAGAUAUUGGGAAGAACACCGGUGGCGAAGGCGGCCAUCUGGUCCGAUACUGACGCUGAGGCGCGAAAGCGUGGGGAGCAAACAGGAUUAGAUA
rnacentral:rRNA from 1 species